rnacentral:lncRNA from 1 species
UGAAAUCGAGGCGAGUUCCAAAAAAAAAAAAAAAAAAUUCGAGGAAAACCAAAAACAGAGAAACUUAAAACACAUGAUUCAGAAUUAAAAGAGUUUAAAUUUUAAUGCAUCUGCGUAUAACAAAACAGAAAAGCAAAGCCAAACAGAGCACCAUGAACAGAGACAUUAACAUCGUAUCCAAAAGAAAUGUUUUUUUUUUCUUUAGUUCGUGCUGAUCACAAAGCAAUCAAAAACAGAACACGAAAAAAUAGAAUCUUCACGCGAUCAUGAAUGAUUUUAUCUCAGAAAAAGAAACAGAUUGAUAAUCAGAAACAACACAUAACAUUGGUAUAGAACAAAAUCAAAAUUGAAUAAUACAACGAUCAUAUGAGAAAAAAUACGCCGGAACAUAGAGCUAGUCAGCAAUCAAAAAAUUACCAUCAAAGUAGUAUGAGAUUAAAAAAACACAUAAGAAAAUUAAAAAAGAAAAGAACCCUAAGUCAAAAUUUGCGGCGGUAGGAAGAAGCAAAAAACAGCAUACCGUAGAAAUCAGAAACCUUUGAAUAAAGAAAGAAGAGAAUCAAAUGAACCGUUUUUAAGCGUAAGACUUAAGCUCAAGAUUUGAUCAAAUUCGGAAGAAAGUAGUUGCAGGGGAAGAUCUAGAGAGAGAGUCUGGUAAAAAAAGGGAGAGAAAUAAGAGUAAGUGACAGAGAGCGUGGCUUUCUUUUUUCUGGUGCGGUUUGUUUGUUUUUGUUUGGUUUGUCCAUUUUCAUUUUUAAUGACAAACAUUGUUUAAAGUAAUUUUUUUAUUUUUAAAAAAUAUUAAUUCCUUGCACGCUUUUUGUGCGUGAAUGAAUCUACAUGUUUAUUUUAAAAUAUAUAAAAAAGGCAAAAAGAGGUUAAACUUUAGUGGAAUUUUUGGAAAUAUCAAUUUUUGCACUCCUAUUAAUUGAUUCAUCCAAGAUCAAAUCUUGGACAAAAUAUGUCUUUUUACAAGUUAGAAUAGAUAAAAAUCUUGGAGUCGAUGACACAAUACAAUAGGGGUAAUUAAAAUAGUCUGGAAAAUCUCUCGACAAUAUAGAGAUAAAAACUCCAAAAGAGUAGAUUUAAGUUUUUCUUUAUAAAUUGGAAGUUAUUUAAAACACUAGUUUCCCUAAAAAAUAGGGAAUCAAUUUUACCAAAAUCAUGAUUGGAUAAAAAAAUAGUUUUUGAAAAAACAAAACUAAAAUCUAUUCUAAAAUCUGCAAACAUUCAAGGCUAUCCCAAAAAAAAUUAAACUGUGUCUAAUAAGUUGUUUCUUUCACUUGUUUUUUUACUAUCUAGUAAAAAAUAAUCUUCACUAUUUUAUAUUUUUAUUCACAAAAAUAAAAAGAAAGUGUCUAAUAUAACUCUCUUUUUUACUAUCUAGUAAAAAAAAUCUAUUAAAUGGAUUACAGAAGGAUUGAAAGUUUAGAUGAAUAGCGUAACCCAUGUAUAUCACUAUGCAGAUAUUUCUUUUGAGUCCAAACAAGAAUUAGAAAUGCAAAAGCUCAAAAAAAAAAAAUAUAUAUAUAUAUAUAUAUUAAGAAGAUGUUGUUGUUAUGUUUGAUAAAAUAAAAUAAAUAGUGGUGGUAAUGGAGGGGAAAAAAAAAAGAAGAAGAGGAGGGAGCACGCGUGAGAAGAUGGACAGAAGAGAGUCAAACACGGGGAGUGUGAGCCGUUGGAUGAAGCAAUCUGAGUGGUUUCCGUUUAAUGCGGGCAUGAUGGUGACCGUAGGAUGGCGAGAGCACGCGUGAAAAGCUUUUGUGGGCCCCUACAAAAGUCUUUCUUUGACAAAAUUUUUGUGUUCGAAUAUUAAAAAAUGUAAUAAAUAAUCGACGACACGAUACUCAUCUCUUGGGGCUCUUGUCCCAACCCAUACUUCCAAAUAAUGUUUACUUAUUUUCGAACCAAACUCAUCAUUUCCCUCUGUACAUUUUGAGCUGUAAUAAUAUUGAGUUUCUGACUCAAAUGUUGGCAUGCGGGUUUAUAUUUUUUUCUUCCACUAGUUUGUUUUGAUUGGUGUAGCCACAAACAAUUACGCUGUUUAAAAAUUUCCACUGUUUGUUUUCUAGCUGCUAAUCACGCAAACAGUAAGUUGGUGGUAGGGAUAAAUAUUUGGAACAAAAGUAAACAUUUGGCAACAAGUAAUAACGACGAUUUAAAUGUACACACAUAUGAAUCGUGUGGCUUAAUUCAAAUCAUAAUUUUGGAGUAUUAGUUUUCAAGGAAACGACGCCACGUCGUUUGAACUGAAUCAACAAACUUUUAUUUCAUCAAAGCAAAAUAGUUGUACUAUUAAUACAUAAAACCAAAAAAGAAGUUUUAUGAAAACUAUACUAUUAGGUAAAAUAAAUGGAGAUUUAGUGAUGUGGGAAUAAUCUUUAGUAGUGGCUUAGUGUUGAGGAAGGCCCGUCAAUACCAACGCAGGUCCAUAAGGGCCGAUAAAAUAUUCUUUAGGCCUCUAGAGCUGAGCAAGAUCUUCUAGUGUUGAUUGAUGUUUUGAAAACUAAACAGGAUCUUCUAAUCCGACCAAGAAUCUUAUACUUAAUCGAGUAUAGAUGUAUUAAAUAAGGUUUGAGUUGAGCCGCUUAAUCUGUUGACCACUACGUUCGAAUCCGGUUCAUAAAUUUUCAUUAAUCCAGUUUUUUUUUGGGUAUAAAUAUAAACAUUAAUCCAAAAGACAAAGAAAAAAGAGAGUCGCAAUUUGAACUGUGGUACUUAGACAUAGCAGACAAAGAUGAUACUACCAAAGAAUCGUGUACAAAUUUCCAUAAUUAUGUCGAUAGUAGAUUGUAACGUCAUACCGAAUGUAUAUCCUUUUUGGCGUUGCUACGUAACUGACGUUACGCACCACUCAAAUGAUCAAUAUAUUUUUUUUUUUAAAAAGAAAAAAACUUGAAACGAAGAGAAUGCAUCUCUGAAAACACAAAAUAUCCCCUUGAUUAUUUAAAAAACCAAUGUUUUAGUUGCUUUAUUACUAUAUUCUUAAAAAAAAAAUCCCACGUUAGAAUUCUAUAUAUUUUACAUUAUAUAUUCAUAGAUUUUUUUUUAAACAUUUUAUGGACUUCACAUUCAAAAGAUCCAAUAUAAUCGAGGAGUGUUGUUUUUGACCACCUAGGUGUUCAAAGUACACAUCUUAGUUCUUAAGUUGGAUAAGUCGAAAGCCAAAGAAACCAAUUUUUAAAUACAAUCAACUUCAAUUAAUCCGAUGAUGAAAUAAUAACUUAUUAAUUUAUUACCAGUUGGAUAAGGUGAUCUUAAUGGCUACUAUGUAAUCACCGUACACUCUUGCAAGUUGAAAGCUAUAGGAAUCAACUUUAGGAUACAACCAGAAUCAAAUAAUCCAUGGUCGAAUCAGAAAUUAUGAUGUUCUUGAUAGGCGCACCAAAAGCCUGGCUAAACAUAAAUUCGCUUUUGAACAAUUCGGAUCAUUUUGCCUAACUAUGGUAUCAUAUAAUUGUAUGAUUCGAUGGUUAAAAUAAGAUGGAACUAUGCAUUCCUAUAAAAUUUCACAAUUUACAUUAAUUAAAACCAUAAAAAUUCACUGUUCCACAUGAAAAAACUAAAUUUAUCCACACAACUAACAAAGAUUUGUUCAUCUUCUAUAUUCAAGAGGAAUGAGAGGAAGAAAAAUAUUCCUUUAAAAUUACAUAUAUCUGUAAUUAUUUCAUCUUUAUUUACUAGUUCUUUUAAAGGUUACAAUCUAUAUCCUAUAACUUGAUGGAUGAUAACAUAGAUCCUGUGCGAGAGUAUGAUAAACGUUGAUAUAAACUAGCAUUUGAGUUCCAGACCUUUCACUAAUCGGCAGAUAGUGUAAAACACUGUCGAGAAUAACCUAGCUACAUAUAAGUGAUUUGGAUUCCCAGAAAUCCUUGCUAAUUGCUGCUCCGUCAAAAGAGGAGAUCCGAUCUGCCUUGUUCUCUAUCCAUCCUGAUAAGGCGCCGGGACCAGAUAGUUUUCCUGCAAGUUUCUUUCAGACAAAUUGGGCAGUUGUUGGGGAUAAGAUCACUGAGGAAUUUCAAACCUUCUUCUCCACAGGGGUGCUUUCAAGAUCCAUCAAUUGUACCCAUGUCCGCCUCAUUCCCAAAGUUCAAAGCCCGAAAAGGGUAUCUGAGUAUCGGCCGAUUGCACUGUGUAAUGUAUAUUACAAAAUAAUAUCCAAUGUGCUUACCAGAAGACUUUAACCGCUGUUAAACUCGAUCAUCUCCGAAUCCCAGUCUGCAUUUGUCCCUGGACGGGCCAUUUCAGACAAUGUGUUAAUCACACACGAAACUCUCCACUACUUAAAAGGAUCAAAAGCGACCAAGCAUUGCUCAAUGGUUGUAAAAACAGAUAUGAGUAAAGCCUAUGACAGACUAGAAUGGAGCUUUAUUGUGGCGGUCCUUGAACGAUUUGGGUUUCAUGCAAAGUGGAUUAACUGGAUCUUUCAAUGCAUAUCUACAGUCUCCUACACUUAUCUGAUUAAUGGGACAGCACAAGGUGAUGUCUUACCCCAAAGAGGCGUCAGACAAGGAGAUCCGCUAUCUCCUUAUAUCUUCAUACUCUGCGGAGAGGUUCUAUCCGGGCUAUGCCACAAUGCUCAAUCCAGUGGUCGAUUUCUGGGCAUUGGUGUAUCCAGACGAAGCCCCAAAGUUAAUCAUCUGCUCUUUGCUGACGAUACAAUGUUUUUCAGUAAGACAUCCGACCUCAGCUGCCAUACCCUGCUCGAGAUCCUCACGAAAUACGAAUCUGCUCCUGGCCAAAUGAUAAACAAACAGAAGUCAGCGAUUAUCUUUUCUGGCAAAACACCACAACACAUCAAAGAUAGGGUCAUGCUGGUUCUCGGUAUUGACAAGGUUGGUGGCCAAGGUAAAUACCUGGGAUUGCCUGAGAGUUUUGGAAGAAGGAAAAAAGAUCUGUUUACCUCAAUAGUAGACAGAAUAAAACAACGCUCUACCAACUGGUCAAACCGAUUUCUGUCUGCAGCAGGCAAGCUAACCCUGCUUAAAUCAGUCCUCUCUGCGAUUCCUACUUACUCGAUGACAUGCUUCAAGCUUCCUGCCAGCUUGUGUAAACGUAUCCAAUCUGCACUGACUCGUUUCUGGUGGGACUCCAAGCCGGGCCAGAAGAAGAUGGCCUGGGUCUCCUAGAAAAGACUCGCGAAAUCCAAAAGAGAAAGAGGCUUAGGUUUCCGAGAUAUCCAAUGCUUCAACAUUGCUCUUUUGGCUAAAUAGACCUGGCAGAUACUUACUAAGCCUGACUGUCUUCUUGCAAGAGUCCUCAAAGGGAAAUACUUUGAGGAUUCCCAUCUCCUAAAAGUUCCAGCGGCUUCGAAUAUCUCUCAUGGAUGGAGAGGACUUUUAGAAGGACGGGAUCUCUUUCUCAAGCAAUUGGGCAAGUCUAUCGGCAAUGGCAAAACCACAUCUCUAUGGAACGAUCCCUGGCUAUCCUGAAAUAGACCGACUAAACCAAUGGGACCUGCACAUCAAGAGACAAGCGAUCUGAUGGUAUCGGACUUAAUGAUCGAUUCUUCAGGCCAAUGGGAUGUAAGGAAGAUAGAGGAAAUCCUACCUCACCAUAUGAAUGACAUCCUCAGUAUCAAACUAAGCAAUCAGGGAGCUGAGGACGCUUUCGUUUGGCUCCCAACGAAGUCAGGCACCUACUCCUCGAAAUCAGGAUACCAUACGGCGCAGGAACCCUCGCAUGAAGCUCCUGAACAGCAACGAGACCUCUCCUGGCAGGCCGAUAUAUGGAGCACCAAAAUUCCACCUAAGUUAAAGCUGUUCCUCUGGAAAAUUGUCCAACAAGCGCUACCAUUAGGUGAAAAUCUCCUAAACAGAGGACUACCUGAAGAUCCUGGCUGCAUUCGUUGUGGCGAACUCGAAUCCGCAGAGCAUAUCUUCCUCCAGUGCCCUUUUGCCCGCGCAGUGUGGAAUGCAGCUCCAAUUGAUCCUUCUUUCAACCCCGCUGCUUUCCCUAGCUUUCCGGCGACGCUUGCUGCGUCAAAGCAUUUGAAAUGUCUGCCACCGACGGGAAUUGGGUUUGGACCUCUUAUCCCUUGGAUAUGUUGGACCCUAUGGAAAACCAGGAACUGGCUCGUCUUCGAAGACAAACACUUCUCGCCGAGCGAGACCAUUGUCAAAGCGACCAUCGAUGCCCGGGAAUGGCAAUUGGCCCAAUCUACUGAAUCCAAGCAUCCCCACUCCGCUUCAAAUCUCGACAAUCUCUCGAUCUCCCAUGGCACUAUCUCCUGCUUCACCGACGGUUUAUGGAAUGGGCUGGACUUUCCGAAAUGACGCUGGUAUUGAGAUCGCGAUGGGCCAAGCUUCUGCCCCCUUCGUCGACAGCCCUCUCAUCGCAGAAGCCCUGAACCAUGGAUUACGCCUGGGAAUCACCUCGCUCGCCAUCAAAUCCGACGCUCAACUCCUACUAUGAGCUAUCAACGCGCAUGAUCAACUUAAGGAGAUCUAUGGACUCCUCUUCGACAUUCAUGUCCUAUCGUCUUCCUUUCGUGUUGUUUCGUUUUCUUACAUCGCUAGAUCUGAGAAUGGAAGAGCAGAUGCUCUAGCCAAACUAUCACUUGAUUUUCUUCAUAGAUCUUAGUCAUUGUAAUCUUUAUGAUUUCAUUUAAUGAAUGUUGUUAAAAAAAAAAAAGUGAUUUGGAUUUGUAUCAUUAUGUUUUUUGCAUUGAUCAAUUUGACUAGCUAUGAAUCGACAUUAGAAACAUGUUGGCAUUUGGAUAACAACAUAAUCUGGAAUUGUGAUAUUUGAACGUUAGAGAGAAUUUAGGUCGAUUGCUGAUAUAUUUAGCCGGUUCAUCACCUAUCGCGUAUCCCUUACUGGAGUCUAAGUAGUGGAUUAUCUUCAUUUCCCAAUUGUCGUUGUUCUCGGCCAUUUUUAAUCAAUAGGUUUCGACUAAUUAAUAAAAAAAAAAGAUACAAUUGUGGAAAAAUAGUUUGUAUUCCAAGAGAAACGCUGACAAACAUUAACAGAUGAAAACUUUAAAUUAGAAUCAAGAUUGACUUCUAGUAGAGACGAGAAGUCAAACCUAACCAAGAUUAGCAUUACAAAACCUUUAAUAAACCUGUUAAUAUCAUAAUUCAUGCACACUUUUAAACUUAUAUAUUAUAUACAAACCAACAAACGCAUCAUUUAUUCAUUUGAUAUAAUCUUCAACAAGUUCUGCGUUAUCCAUGCUUUGAUAACUAAUCAUUUUUUUUGUUGGUUUUAAAAGUUAAAAGGAUGAAAAUGUGAAAUGCUAGCUAGUAUUAUACAUGAUUCGAUAAAACAUAGUUUGUUUCAUAAUUUAUUCUUUAUUUGGAGAAUGUUAAUCGACUCGAACUUGAUUCACGUUGUUUGUACGAGUUUAGGAAAAACCAAAGUCUUCGAUUUGCCAAGAUGUUAGGGUUCAAUACAAUUUAAUAAAUAAAAAAAUAUACAAUUUCACAAAAAGAAGGAAAUACAACAUGUUCUGCAAAAAUGAUCUGAGAAUAAAGAAAAAAAGUUAAGGUUCAAAAUUUAAUAUUUUCAAAGAUGAGAGUUUUAUCUACAAUAAACUUUAAAGUUAUCAGAGCAGUUAAACCCAACCUAAACCCUUCCACAAUUCUCGCGCCGCCUCCUGUGUGUCUCUCAAUAAUCUCCAUCAAUUCGCUCAGGCAAGCUUCUUCGAGGUUUAAAUUGUAAAGUUUUUGCUAAUUCGAGUUGAUCAUGUGACGUAGAAACCCUAAUUUCGGUAUCAUUUUGCAGUCACACAGUCUCAAGAACCUCAGAACCGGACUUGCUUGAGAGCAAAAACCCUACUCAUGGAUGUCAAAGAGAAGAAGAAAGACACGGUUCCAAAGAUCGAAGACUUUACGGAGCUUCACAAUCUGGUCACGCAUCACAUAGAAUCGUUCGAUUACAUGACAGAGAAAGGACUCGCUGUUAUGUUCAGUCGAAUCAAACCCGUUACAGUUUACGAACCAUCCACUGAGAGGAAGCUGAGCAAUAUCCUUUUCUUUUGAUUAUACUGUUUCCAUGUCCUUUGAUGCAUAAGUUGUUCUUACCUUAGGUCUUUAGGUUAAGUUACUGUCAGUUUCAUACCAUUUCCUCCUUGUUUCUUGCUCUAAUGCGAUCCUUUAUAUGGCUUUAUAAUGUUGAAUUUUGUCUUCUGUCUGAUUCCUUGACGAAUGAUACUCUGGUUAGAGGACCCUAGAGUUUACUCUCCUCAGAAGGAGAGUUUGAGGUCAACAUCAAGGAAAGAGGCUUUGUUUCCCUUUGAGGUGAAAUGGCUUUUGUUUUUAAGAUGGUUUCUGACAUAUUAUAGGUUGUAUAUGGUGGAGUAAUACUGUUUGUUUUGGCUUCUUGGAUAACAGUGUAGGCAGGCGAAGAUUUCUUACACGGGAUCGCUUAUGGCUGAAAUUUGCUUUAGAUAUGAUGAGGAUGAAUACGUCGUGAGAGAUAGAUAUGAGUUUGGGGAAUUUCCUAUUAUGCUGAUGGUGGGUGAUCUGUUCAUUUGGUUUUUUCUAUCUACUAUUUUUUUAUAUUAAUCCUCUAUCCCUGAAGAUAUGUCGAUUACAAGUGUAUGUAAGAUAUUAUAAUGCUGGCUGAUAAGCGAGAGUCACUUCUCUGGCUGGAUGCUUUGAUAUGUCAAUUUGGCUCUUAUAAGUUAUAACUAACAAUGGAAUAAAGCAUAGCUCUCAGUGAUUUCUCAGAAAUUUACAACUCUCUCUUUCCUUUUGUUAUUAUAACAAGUCUUGAUUAAUGGGUUAAUAGAGGUUGAUCUCCGUACUUUCGUGCAGUCAAAGCUCUGCCAUUUACGGGGUGCUGAUUGCCGGCAACUGUUAAAGUAUAAAGAGUCAACUUCUGAAAUGGGAGGGUAAAUGUUCAUCCAUCUCUCAUGCCUUAUGUUAUAGCCACUGCGGUGUUUGUGGUUGAUAUAUGCCAAGUGUUUCCGGGUUUUUUCUUCUAAAGUGUAUUUUUGUAUGCAUGAAAACUUUGUUGGGAUUUUUUUCACAUCCUGUAUUGGUUAAGUACAAUGGAAUCUAGGGUGGGAUUAAGAACGACCCUUUUGCCUAUGACUUAGUAUAAAAUGUUAUCUGUAUAUGGCAUUCAUAUAGCUCUUGAUAUGUCUUUCUUUCUUUAAGUCCAAACAUGAUAAUAAUGUUAGCUUUUUUUCAAAUAGGUACUUUAUUUUGAAUGGGAUCGAGAGGGUGUUCCGAUGUGUUAUUGCACCAAAGCGGAACCAUGUAAGCUGCCUGUGAUUUCAACGUCUGCUUUUUAACUUUCAAUAAUUGCGGUAUAAAGUGUACGGGUAAAAUGUAUUUCAUGAACUUCCUUGAAUCAUAUAUUUCUCUCAGAAUUUAACCGAAUAAGAAUCUUCUGUAGCCAACGGGUAUGGUGCGGAACUCAUUCUGUGGUCGCCGGGAAGGAUACAGUGAUAAGGCAGUUGCCAUUAGGUAUGUGAAGUUCAUCUCUUUCCUAUGAAGGUGCAUAUAAUAAUGUCAAUCUUCACUAAUUAACAAUAUAUGUUAAAGAGUUCUUCAAGCGGGUCUUUCUUCUUAAUUUUGCAGGUGUGUUAGGGACGACCAGUCAUCUGUCACUGUUAAACUGUAUUAUCUUCGAAAUGGAAGUGCUAGAGUUGGAUUUUGGUGAGUGUUAACUCGAUGUGUGGGAAAAUGGAAGACAUUACCUACGUUUGAGCUACACGUUAAACUUAUUUCUAAUGGACGCAGGAUAGGGGCAAGGGAAUAUUUGCUUCCUGUUGGCGUUGUUCUCAAGGUAUGGUCUUAGUGACUAUAAAGUAUCCGUCUCCGAGCAUAACAUUAUUUGAUGCGAAGGGUUUAGUAUAGGCUUACAAGCGACAUAUUUUGGGGAUUCGUCUGGAUGUGUUUUUUCUGUUAGUCAAUUUCUUCUAUUUAGGUGUUUUCCCUCCAUUUUUCAUGUCUGGCAUCAUAUGUUCCUAGGCUCUCACUGAAACCAACGAUGAGGAAAUAUACGAAAACUUGACCUGUUGCUACAAUGAGCGUUACGGAAGAGGCGACGGAGCUAUUGGAACCCAACUCAUUCGUGAGAGAUCCAAAAUUAUUCUUGAUGAAGUGAGAGACUUGGGUCUUUUUACCCGAGAUCAGUGCCGGAAAUACUUAGGUAAUUUAACUGUCUCAGUGUUAUGUACACGUAUAUCGAAAAAUAUAAGCUAAUGUUAUACUUUUUAAACCAACAGGAGAGCGUUUUCAACCUGCUCUUGAUGGGCUAGAAAAAGAAAGCUAUCCUACUGUAAGUUUAUUUGAUCAUUCUUAACUUCCCCAAUUGGUUACAUCGCUACAAAAGAAUUUUCUGUCUGCGAAACAGUUUCUUGCAGUUGUUAUCAUUUAUAUACGAGUAUUGUGAUGAAAAAGUAAUUAACUUCUUCAAGAUUGGCUUUUGGCUCUCAGCUUCGUUGGACUGAGUUCUAAUUACUUGUAAUCUAUCUAAAAACUUUUGUCUCUUCAUUCUUAUAUAUUUAGGUUGCUGAAGCCGUGCUCAAGAAUUAUAUAUUUGUUCACCUUGACAACGAUGACGACAAGUUCAAUUUGCUCAUGUAAUUUCUUGCUUUUGCCUCAUGAUGGCUUUUUUUGUCAAGUUUUUUUGUGUGUGUUAUUGUAUCAACCUUUUCUUUUUGUUUUCGCAGCUUCCUAAUUCAGAAGCUCUUUUCUCUGGUGGAUCAGACUUCUUUACCGGACAAUCCGGAUUCUCUGCAAAAUCAGGAAAUUUUAGUCCCCGGUCACCUUAUAACAAUUUACCUCAAGGUAUAUAAUUAUCUUCCCAUAUGGUAGAAACAUCCAUCUUGAAGCCCAUCUAAGAGCAUCAGAGCAUGUGAUUUCGACAUUGUCCAUGUUUCUAAAUAUGUGUGUUUCUAUUUUGAAUAACCAUGAAGUGUUGUGUUUACUAGAGAAAGAUAUUUGUUCAUAACAAGGAGUUAGUUGACGUCGCAUGCAUUGGUUUUCUAGGAAAAACUCGAAGAGUGGCUGCGGAAGUGCAAAAGUCUUAUUGAAGAUGAGUUCAACAGAAGCAAGAAAUUUUCCUUUGAGACAAGUAAGUCACUUUCACUUUGUUAUCCUUGUUCAAUGUUCUUAUCUCCCGCAUUCCUUGAAACUAUAUGAAACUCAUUAUUUUUGCUAUAUCCACAUUUAUCUCUGCAUGAAUUUUUGAUUGUCCUCUUCCACAGAAAUCUUGUUAACCAAGUGUCGUGUGCUCUGUGAUGAUUCCUUAAUUGAAUGCAGUUGCUGAUGUCAAGAAGAUUAUUAACAAAAAUCCUCCCAGGAGUAUUGGUAUGUCAAUUGAAACAUUGUUGAAAUCAGGAAGGCUUAAUACGCAGUCUGGUUUGGAUUUACAGCAGGUAAGCACUUGAGAGAUCACUUGCUUGGGAACCUAUAAUCUUUUGUAGCUAAGCUCCUUCAACUAUGUAGUUUGAUAGAACAAUACUAAUAUCUCGUUUCUCAAUUCUUCACCAGAGAGCAGGUUACACUGUGCAGGCUGAGAGACUGAACUUUCUCCGUUUCCUCUCAUUUUUCCGGGCUGUUCAUCGUGGUGCUUCUUUUGCUGGACUUCGUACAACAACUGUGAGGAAGCUGCUUCCUGAGUAAGUUUCUGUCACUUUGUACCUACUGAACUCCAGAUGUGAAUGAUGCGGUCACCAAAAUAGUUUUGCCUUCACAAUGUUCCUGUUAUAUUUUGAUAUUGUAGAUCUUGGGGUUUUCUUUGCCCUGUUCACACUCCUGAUGGGGAACCCUGUGGAUUACUGAACCAUAUGACUCGUACUUGCCGUGAGUUUCUUAGCUCUCUUUUUCACUUAUCAAUUCAGUACGAUGUCUUAAAUUCAGCAAUUUUUUUGACUUGAAAAUCGGUUAGACCAAGUUGGAGUUUACAUGCUUUACUUAAGCUUUAAGAUUUUAUAUGGAAUCAUGUUUAGUGAGAGUUUGCUAUAUUACUCGAGGAACCCUAUUGUAGACUGUAGUUUCAAGUUAUAUAUAUGUAUAUAUAUAUAUAUAUAUUAGAUCAGUAAUAUACUAUUAUCUAAAUAUCAGGUCUUUUUGUGGUUGCAAUUUAUAUGCAUAAAUUUCUGGGUCUGGGCAUUUUUAAACAUUUUAAGACUGCGCAUACUUGCCAUACCGUACAAUAUGCCACUUCUUUUGCUGUAAUAACUUUGCUUAUUAUGUUCUGGUUGGUCAUGGUGUUUUUAGGAAUCACUUCUCAAUUCGAUUCCAACGGAAACAUCAGAGAUUUUCUGAAAAUAAGAAAGUCAGUUGUUGAUGUUCUUGUUGGGGUUGGAAUGGUACCUUCAUUGCCAAAACUUGUACGAGCUGGACCACCAAAAGUAAUUACUGUUCUUUUAGAUGGUCAAGUUGUGGGAUCACUAUCGUCUAACUUAGUUACGGAGGUUGUCGCUUAUUUGCGGAGACUGAAAGUGGAGGCUCCUUCAGUGGUAAGGCUUUGUCUGGUUCCUAACAAUACAGUAUUUGCUGACUGUAAACUUUUUCGUUAGAAGUGAACUAUUUAUCUGAAUGCUAUUCUACAGAUUCCCGAAGACCUCGAAGUGGGAUAUGUACCUACAAGCAUGGGUGGAUCUUAUCCUGGAUUGUAUUUGGCAUCAUGUCCUUCAAGAUUCAUUAGGCCUGUUAAAAAUAAUUCUGUUCCCUCUGACAAUAUUGAGCUAGUUGGACCAUUUGAGCAGGUAGCAAAACCCAAGGAUUUGCUCUCCACAUCCAUCUUUUUUGUGUACAUCCAAAUUAAAAUAUAUAUUCUUUUCUCCCACAUCAGGUUUUUAUGGAAAUAAGCUGUCCUGAUGGUGGCAAUGGAGGAAGGAAUAACUCUUCUACAGCAACUCAUGAGGAAAUUCAUCCAACAGGAAUAAUAAGUGUAGUAGCUAAUCUUACACCUUGGUCAGAUCAUAAUCAAAGUCCACGUAACAUGUAUCAGUGUCAGGUACGUACUAUUAUAUUAAUGAAAGUUUGUACUCAGUUAUGUUAGUGGAAGCAUGUGUUUAAGAUUUAAUGCAAUACAGAUGGCGAAACAAACCAUGGCGUACUCUACUCAAGCACUCCAAUUUCGUGCUGACCAGAAGAUUUACCACUUGCAGGUCAGUUCUAAUUUACAUUUAUGCUCUUAGAAAGCAGAAGUACAUGCUACAAUGUUCAUUUAAUCAUUUCCUCUUUUGGUCCCAUGUCUUGUAAAAUUAUAUGUGUAUGACACAGACUCCUCAAUCCCCCGUGGUGCGCACGAAAACAUACACCACGUACAGCAUUGAUGAGAAUCCAACAGGGACUAAUGCAAUAGUUGCUGUCCUGGCUCAUACUGGGUAAGAAAUUGUUUUGGCGUGUAAGAGUUUGCUAAUGACACACUUCUUCUUUUAAUAUCUUCUUAUGCCUUUUUCUACCUAUCUGUCUCACAGAUUUGAUAUGGAAGAUGCUAUGAUUUUGAACAAAUCAUCUGUGGAGCGGGGGAUGUGCCAUGGGCAAAUAUAUCAGGUUCGAGCUACCAAUUUCAAUUUUUGUUAUUAAGCAUUCAGAAGAAAUCUUUGGAUAUGGUGCUUAAGCGUAGUUGCAAUGAACUUUCUUUUGAUCUGCAACUUUAAUUUAAGCCUGGUCAUUGUCCUCUGGAUUCGUUUCUUUAUGGAACCCGGAAAGUAUAAUCUUGUAGUUGCAGAGAGGGGUUACUUAUCAUCAUACAAAUUACUCAGCAUUUCUCUUCUGUGAAUUUCUUACCCUUGUCCUCAUAAUCGUGCAGACAGAAACUGUUGAUCUGUCAGAUCAGAGAAGCCGAUCGGAUAAUGGUAAUCAAAGUUUCAGGAGAAGUAAAGUUGACAAAUCAGCUCAUUCUUGUAUUGAUGCUGAUGGGUUGCCAUAUAUUGGACAGGUAAAAUCAUUGCUUUCCAUCCUCUUGAUGUGCUGUAGACUUAUUCUGUAAUUCUAGUUUCCUUGUUAACAUCCACAAAACUCUGAUGCACAGAAAAUAUAUCCAAAUGAGCCGUACUGUAGUAUCUAUGAUGGGGUAACUAACUCGAUAAAGACCAUGAAGCGAAAAGGCACCGACCCUGUCAUAGUUGACUUUGUCUCUGUUGACAUGAAAAGCAAGAAGCAUCCUCAAAAGGUGAAUUAAACUCCUUCAACGGUCGCAUAAACAGAGUCCUGUUUUGGUUAAAUCUAAUAAAAAGGUUCAUGGCAGGCGAAUAUCCGAUUUCGGCAUGCCAGAAAUCCCAUAAUCGGUGACAAAUUCAGCAGUAGACACGGGCAAAAGGGUGUUUGCUCGCAAUUGUGGCCUGAUAUUGAUAUGCCAUUUAACGGAGUUACUGGAAUGCGUCCAGAUCUCAUCAUUAACCCGCAUGCUUUCCCAUCAAGAAUGACAAUCGCUAUGCUUUUGGAAUCUAUUGCUGCCAAGGUAUCCUUAGAAAUUGGUCUGAUUCUCAGGUUGCUCAGACACUGAUGCUAUGCAUCUUAUUUUUGCGUCUGUUUUAACCAACUUAUAUUGUUAUUCCGCUGGUAAGUAUUUGUAAUGUUAUCCUCGUGUUCUACAGGGAGGUAGUUUGCGUGGAGAGUUUGUAGAUGCAACGCCGUUUCGUGAUGCAGUAAAAAAACCAAACGGAGAAGAGGAGAGCAAAUCCAGUCUGCUUGUUGAUGAUCUUGGUUCCAUGUUGAAGGAAAAAGGAUUCAACUACUAUGGGACAGAGACAUUAUACAGUGGGUAUUUAGGAGUAGAGCUGAAGUGUGAGAUAUUUAUGGGGCCUGUUUACUACCAAAGACUACGUCACAUGGUCUCAGACAAAUUCCAGGUUUUUGGAUCCCUCUGUAAAACUCUCCAACUUGCAAUUCUCUCAUCUUGGAGCUUUGUCUGAGUCAUAUAUUCUGGCUUGCAGGUUAGAUCCACAGGACUAGUGGAUCAGCUAACUCGUCAGCCAAUCAAGGGAAGGAAACGAGGGGGAGGGAUUCGAUUUGGUGAAAUGGAAAGAGACGCAAUGCUUGCUCAUGGAGCUUCGUAUCUAUUACACGACAGGCUCCACACCUCAUCAGAUCACCACAUUGCAGAUGUGUGUUCGCUAUGUGGAAGCUUGCUCACAUCUUCGGUUGUGAACGUUCAACAGAAGAAGCUGAUUCAAGAUAUUGGAAAGUUACCUCCUGGCAGGACUCCAAAGAAGGUAACUUGCGAUUCGUGCAAGACAAGCAAAGGGAUGGAAACUGUUGCAAUGCCAUAUGUGUUCAGGUACUUAGCUGCAGAAUUGGCGGCAAUGAAUAUUAAGGUGACUCUUCAGUUAAGCGGCAGAGAAGGAAGCGAUAGAAAAGUAGUCUAAAUUCGCAGCGAUUUCACUGGGCACAUGCUGUAUGUACAUCAAAGUUUUCAUCUUCUCAAAGACUGGAACAAAAAACUGUCUGAAAAUUCUGACGGAUGAAGAUUUAACACCAGAGCAAGAUCGAGAAUCGGAUCUCACAAUGUAACAGAGUCGUUCAUUAGAAGAAUGCAUUGUUAUUAGUUAUUGUUUUCAAUGGUUAGUAUCUUUUUCUUGUGUGAAACGUUGUAUUUGUGAUACUUGAAGCGAUUGUCUUAAACAUUGAUGUAUGAUUAGUAUGGAUAAAAUAAAACCAAUGGAUUUUUGAUCCUUGAAUACCAUUGACUUGAUUGGUGACAUGUUCAAUUAAAUUGCCUAGUUCUUGGGAAUAACCUCUGCAAUUCAAUUCCAUUACUGAUAAAUCAUACAAAGAAUUGCAAAAUUUACAUCUAAGUAUGAUAAAAGUCGCUCUACCAAAGCGUUGUUGCUGACUGGAUCAGCCAAAAUGGUCAGCAAACUGUCCAUUAACCGGUGAGUACCGAACUCAAUAUAUAUACAUAUAUAAAAUAAGGGGAUAUAUAUAAAUUAAACCCUUCUUAAUUUUUUUCGCGCCGCCUUGUGUCUCUCCCUCUCCACUGCAACUCCUCAGGCAAGAUUCUUUGAGACCGAAUUGUAAAGUUUUGACUUGUUACUUGCGACGUAGGAAAAACCCUAAAUAAUAGUGUCCCUUUUGCAGUCUGCACAACCUCAGAAUCGGCCUCGCUAGAGAGCAAAAACCCUAAUCAUGGUUGACAAACUGAAAGACUCGGUUCCAAAACUCGAAGACUUUAAGGAGCUUCACAAUCUCGUCACGCAUCACAUAGAAUCGUUCGAUUACAUGACGGAGAAAGGACUCGCUGUUAUGUUCAAUCGAAUCAAGCCCGUUUCGGUUUACGAUUCUGGGAACAAGCUGAGCAAUAUCCUUUUUUUUUUCUUCUGUCAAUACCGUUUCUCAUGCAUAAUCUGUUCUUACCUGAGGUCCUAGGUUUAGUUACUGUCAAUUCACACCAUUGAUUGAGUUCUAAGAACUUGGUUUAGUUCGCUUUCCUCGUUUCUAGCUCUAAUUCUAUCCUCUGUGCUCUAUGGCUCCAGAUGGGCUUUCGUAAUGUUGAAUUUUGUGUGUUUUGUCUGAUUUCUUAACGAAUAUGAUACUCUGGUUAGAUAACCCUGUAGUGUACCCUCCUCAGAAAGAGAGUCCCAGUUCAACAUCAAGGCAAGAGGCUUUGUUUCCCUUCGAGGUAAAGUUUAUUGUGUUUAAAAUGUUUCCUGGCAUAUUAAUGUUACAUUUGGUGGAGAGUAAUACUGUUUGUUUUGAAUAACAGUGUAGGCAGGCGAAGAUUUCUUACACGGGAAAGCUUAUGGCUGAGGUUUGCUUACAAUACAAUGACGAACCACCAGUCAUUAGAGAUAAAUUUGAUUUCGGGGAAUUACCUAUUAUGCUGAUGGUGGGUGAAAUGUUCGUUUGGUUUUCCUACUAAUUUCUUAUGAUUCUCUCUCCAUUCCUGAAGAUGUGUCGUAUUACAAGUGUAUGUAAGAUAUUUUAAUACUGGAUUGUAAACCAAAACGUUGCCGUGGUGCCAAUAAGCGAGAGUCACUUAUAACUAACAAUAGAACAAAGCUUAGCUCUCAGUCAUUUCUGUUAAUUCCAAAAUUCUCUCUUUACUUUUCUUAUUAUGACAAGCCUUGAUUAAUGGGCUAAUGGAAAUUGAUCUCCGCACUUUUGUGCAGUCAAAGCUCUGCAACUUACGGGGUGCUGAUUGCCGGAAACUGUUAAAGUAUAAAGAAGCAACUUCUGAAAUGGGAGGGUAAGUCUUCAUCCAUCUCUUAUGCCUUAUGAUAUAGCCACUGCAGUGUAUGUGGUUGAUAUAUGCCAAGUGUUUCUGGGUUUUCUUUCUAAAGCGUAUUUUUUGGGCUUUUGUUUAUUACAUCCUGUAUUGUUUUAUGAAUGCCAUAUACGCAUACCCAUUGUUUCAUAUUAAUAAAAAAUGUAACGGGUAUAUGGCAUUCAUAUAGCUCUUGAAAUGUCUCUUUUUCUUUAAGUGCGAUCAUGAUGAUAAUGUUAGCUUUCUUUCACAUAGGUACUUUAUUUUGAAAGGGAUUGAGAAGGUGUUCCGAUGUGUUAUUGCACCAAAGCGGAACCAUGUAAGCUGUCUCUGAUUUCAACUUCUGCUUUUUAGCUUUCAAUCACUGCGUAUAAAGUUUAUUGGUAAACUGUAUUCUGUGAACUUUCUUGCAUCACAUAUAUCUCUCAGAAUUUAACUGACUAAGAAUCUUAUGUAGCCAAUGGGUAUGGUACGGAAUUCAUUCAUUCAUCGCCAGGAAGGAUUCAGUGAUAAGGCAGUUUCUAUUAGGUAUGUAAAUUUCAUCUCUUUCCUAUGAUGGUUCAUAUAAUAACGUCAAUCUUCACCUUAAGUAGCAAUAUAUCUUAAAGAAUUCUUCAAGCAGUUCUCUCUUUUUUAUUUUCUAGGUGUGUUAGGGACGACCAGUCAUCUGUCACUAUUAAACUGUAUUAUGUUCGAAAUGGAAGUGCCAGAGUUGGAUUUUGGUGAGUGUUAACUCGGUGUGUGGAAUAUGGAAGACAUUACCUACAAUAUGAGCUACUCGUUAAACUUAUUUCUAAUGGACACAGGUUAGGUGGAAAGGAAUAUUUGCUACCUGUCGGCAUUGUUCUCAAGGUAUGGUCUUAGUGAUGACUGUCAAGUAUCUGUCUCCAAUAUCAUGAGAACAGAACUUUAUUUGAGGCGAAGUGUUGUUUUUUGGGGUUUACAUACGACAUCUUUUGGGGGUUCUUCAGGAUUUGUGUUUUUUUCUGCUAUUCAAUUUCUUUUCUUUUCUUUUCAGUUCUCCAAUUUUCACAUCUGUCCUCAUGUGUUCCUAGGCUCUCACUGAAACCAACGAUGAAGAAAUAUAUGAAAACCUGAAUUGUUGCUACAAUGAGCGUUUUGAAAGAUGCGAUGGUGCUAUUGGAACGCAACUAGUUCGUGAGAGAUCCAAAAUUAUUCUAGAUGAAGUGAGAGACUUGGGUCUUUUUACCCGGGACCAGUGCCGGAAGUACUUAGGUGACUUACCUGUCUCAGUGUUUAUGUACACAUAUCUCGAAACUUGUAAGCUAAUGUUUCACUUUCUAAACCAACAGGAGAGCGUUUUCAACCUGCUCUUGAUGGGCUAGAAAAAGAAAGCUAUCCUACUGUAAGUUUAGUAUCAUUCUUAACUUCUCCAUUUUGCUUCAUCACUACAAAAGAGGUUGCUGUUUGCAAAACUGUUUCUUUGCAUUUGUUAUCAUUUACAUAUGAUCAGGUAUUUUGAAUAAACUUCUUCAGGAGUGGCCUUUGGCUGCUAGCUUUUUUGGACUGGGUUCUAAUUAUUACUUGAUAUAUCUACAACUGAUAACAGUAGUCCUUUUUGAAAACUUUUGUCUCUGCAUUCUUAUUCAUUUAGGUUGCUGAUGCCGUGCUGAAGAAUUAUAUAUUUGUUCACCUUGACAACGAUGACGACAAGUUCAAUUUGCUCAUGUAAUUUCUUGCUUUUGCCUCAUGAUGGCUUUUUUGUCAAGUUUUUUUUGUGUGUUAUUGUGGUCAACCUUUUCUUUUUGUUUUCGCAGCUUCCUAAUUCAGAAGCUCUUUUCUCUGGUGGAUCAGACUUCUUUACCGGACAAUCCUGAUUCUCUGCAAAAUCAGGAAAUUUUAGUCCCCGGUCACCUUAUAACAAUCUACCUCAAGGUAUAUAAUCAUCUUCCCAUAUGGUAGAAACAUAUAUCUUAAUGCACAUGUAAGAGCAUGUGAUUUCGUCAAUAUCCAUGUUUCUAAAUAUUGUACGUUUCUAUUUUGCAUAACCAUGAGUGUUGUGUUUACUAGAGAAAGAUUGUUGACGUCGCAUGCAUUGUUUUUUAGGAAAAACUUGAAGUGUGGCUGCGGAAGUGCAAAAGUAUUAUUGAACAGGAGUUUGGUAACAACAAGAGCAAGAAAUAUUCUUUUGAAAGCCGUAAGUCACUUUCAUUUUGUUAUCCUUGUUCAAUAUUCUAAGCUUCCGCAUUCCUUGAAACUAUUUAAAACUCAUUCUUUUUUUGCUAUAUCCACAUUUAUUUCGGCAUGAAUUUUUGCUUGUCCUCUUCCACAGAUAUGUUGUUUACUCAAUCUCAUGUGCUCUGUGAUGAUUCCUUGAUUGAAUGCAGAUGCUGAUGUAAAGAAGCUUAUGAACAGAAAUCCUUCCAGCAGUAUUGGUACGUCAAUUGGGACAUUUUUGACAAGAGGAGAAAUUCAUACGCAGUAUGGUUUGGAUUUCCCGGAGGUAAGCAUUUGAGUUAAUCGCUUGCUUGCGAAGCUAUAUUCUUAUGCAGAUAAGCUCCUUUAGUAUGAUGUAGUUUAAUAGAACAAUACUAAUAUCUCGUUUCUCAAUACCUUACCAGAGCAAAGGUUUCACUGUUCAAGCUGAGAGAUUGAACUUUAUCCGUUUCCUAUCAUUUUUCCGGGCGGUUCAUCGAGGUGCUUCUUUUGCGGAUCUUCGUACAACAACUGUGAGAAAGCUGCUUCCUGAGUAAGUUCUGUCACUUUGUAAUUUGUACCUACUGAACUCCUGGUGUGAAUGAUGCGGUCACCAAAAUAGUUUUGCCUUCACAAUUUUUCUGUUUUAUUGUGAUCUUGUAGAUCUUGGGGUUUUCUGUGCCCUGUUCACACCCCGGAUGGAACACCCUGUGGAUUACUGAAUCAUAUGACUCGUACUUGCCGUGAGUGUCUCUAGCUCUCUUUUUCACUUAUCAGUUUUUCUUCUUAUAUAAGUUGAGUAUGAUAUCUUGAAUUCAGCAACACUAUUCUCUUGACUUGAAAAUCGGUUAUACCAAAUCAGAGUUUACAUGUGUUAGUUAUGCAUUAAAUAAGAGAUUUCACAUAGAAUCAUGUUUAGCGAGAGUUGGUAAUUGAGGAACGCUGUUAUAUAUAUAUAUAUAUAUAUAUAUAUAUAUAUAUAUAUAUAUAUAUAUAUUAGCUCUUUUCUGGUUGCAAUUAAUAUGCACAAAUUUCCCGGUCUGGUCAUUUUGUACCACCAUAAGAUUGCGCAGUCUUGUUAUACUAUUCAAUUUGCCACUUCUUUGCAGUAACAACUUUGCUAAUUAUGUUCUAGUUGGUCAUGGUGUUUUUUAGGAAUCACUUCUCAAUUUGAUUCGAAUGGAAACAUCAGAGAUUUUCAGAAGAUAAGAAAAUCGGUUGUUGAUGUUCUGGUUGGGGUUGGGAUGGUAUGUUCAUUGCCAAAACUUGUACGAGCUGGACCACCAAAAGUCAUUCCUGUUCUUUUAGAUGGUCAAGUAGUAGGAUCACUAUCUUCUAACUUAGUUACGGAAGUUGUUGCUUAUUUGCGGAAACUGAAAGUUGAGGCUCCUUCAGUGGUAAGGCUUUCUCGCUUCGUAACAGUAUAUUUGCUGCCUAUAAACUUCUUCAUUAGUAGAGAACUAUUAAAUCUGAAUGCAUCUCUACAGAUUCCUGAAGACCUCGAAGUGGGAUACGUACCUACAAGCAUGGGUGGAUCUUAUCCUGGAUUGUAUUUGGCAUCAUGCCCCUCAAGAUUCAUUAGGCCUGUUAAAAAUAAAUCUGUUCCCUCUGACAAUAUUGAGUUAAUUGGACCAUUUGAGCAGGUAGCAAACCCCAAGGAUUUACUCUCCACAUCCACCUUUUUUGCUUAUAUCAAAUUAAAAUAUAUAUUCUUUUCUCCCACAUCAGGUUUUUAUGGAAAUAAGCUGUCCUGAUGGUGGCAAUGGAGGAAGGAAUAACUCUUCUCCAGCAACUCAUGAGGAAAUUGAUCCAACAGGGAUGCUAAGUGUGGUAGCUAAUCUUACGCCUUGGUCAAAUCAUAAUCAAAGUCCACGUAACAUGUAUCAGUGUCAGGUACAUACCAUUAUAUUAAUGAAAGUUUGUACUUAGUUAUCCUAGUGGAAGCUUGUGUUUAAGAUUUAAUGCAAUACAGAUGGCGAAACAAACCAUGGCAUUCUCUACUCAAGCACUCCAAUUUCGUGCUGACCAGAAGAUUUACCACUUGCAGGUCAGUUUACAUUUAUGCUCUUAGAAAGCACAAGUACAUGCUACACUGUUCAUUUAAUCAUUUUCCUCUUUUGGUCCCGUGUCUUGUAAACUUACGUGUAUGCCACAGACUCCUCAAUCCCCCGUGGUGCGCACGGAAACAUACACCACAUACAGUAUUGAUGAGAAUCCAACAGGGACUAAUGCAAUAGUUGCUGUCCUCUCUCAUACUGGGUAAGAAGUUUUUUUGGCGUGUAACAGCUUGCUAAUGACACUUCUUUCAUCAGUUUUUCUCUUAUGCAUUUUUUACCUAUCUGCCUCACAGAUUUGACAUGGAAGAUGCGAUGAUUUUGAACAAAUCAUCUGUGGAGCGGGGGAUGUGCCAUGGGCAAAUAUAUCAGGUUCGAGCUCCCAUUCUCAAAUUUUGAUUUUAAGCAUUCAGAUGAAACCUCUGGAUAUGGUGCUUACGUUUAGUUGCAAGUUUUCUUUUGAUCUGCAACUUCAAUAUAAGCCUGGUUCUUUAUGGAACCCCGAAAAUAUAUUCUUGUAGUUGCAGCGAGGGGUUAAUUAUCAUCAUACAAAUUACUCAGCAUUUCUCUUUUGUGGAUUUCUUACCCUUGUCCUCAUAAUCGUGCAGACGGAAACUGUUGAUCUGUCAGAUCAGAGAAGCCGAUCAGAAAAUGCACAUAAAAGUUUCAGGAGAAGUAAAGUUGACAAAUCAGCUCAUUCUUGUAUUGAUGCUGAUGGGUUGCCAUAUGUUGGACAGGUAAAUCAUUACUUGCCAUCCUCUUGAUGUGCUGUAGACUUAUUCUGUAACUUUAGUUCCCUUGUUAACAUCCACAGAAACUCACCAAUUUUAUGUUUGGAUCUGAUGCACAGAAAAUAUAUCCAAAUGAGCCGUACUGUAGUAUCCAUGACGGGGUAACUAACUCAAUAAAGACCAUUAAGCGCAAAGGCACCGACCCUGUCGUAGUUGACUUUGUCUCUGUUGACAUGAAAAGCAAGACGCAUCCUCAAAAGGUGAGGUUAACUCCUUCAACGGUCGCAUAAACAGAGUCCGGUUUUGGUUAAAUCUAAUUCUUAAGGUUCAUUUGCAGGCGAAUAUUCGAUUUCGUCAUGCCAGAAAUCCCAUAAUCGGUGACAAAUUCAGCAGUAGACACGGGCAAAAGGGUGUUUGCUCGCAAUUGUGGCCUGAUAUUGAUAUGCCAUUUAAUGGAGUUACUGGAAUGCGUCCAGAUCUUAUCAUUAACCCGCAUGCUUUCCCAUCAAGAAUGACAAUCGCUAUGCUUUUGGAAUCUAUUGGUGCCAAGGUAUCCUUCGAAAUUUGUCUGAUUCUCAAGUUUCUCAGACACUGAUGCCAUGCAUCUUGUUUUUGCCUCUGUUUUAACCAACUUAAAUUUUUACCCGCGGGUUUUACAGGGAGGUAGUUUGCGUGGAGAGUUUGUAGAUGCAACGCCGUUUCGUGAUGCAGUAAAAAAACCAAACGGGGAAGAGAAGAGCGAAUCCAGUCUACUUGUUGAUGAUCUUGGUUCCAUGUUGAAGGAAAAAGGGUUCAACUACUAUGGGACUGAGACAUUAUACAGUGGGUAUUUAGGAGUAGAGCUCAAGUGCGAGAUAUUUAUGGGGCCUGUUUAUUACCAAAGACUACGUCACAUGGUCUCAGACAAAUACCAGGUUCUUGGAUCCCUCUGUAAAACUCUCCAACUUGCACUUGUCUCAUUUUGGAGCUUUGUCUGAGUCAUAUAUUCUGGCUUGCAGGUUAGAUCCACAGGACUAGUGGAUCAGCUAACUCGCCAGCCAAUCAAGGGAAGGAAACGAGGUGGAGGGAUUCGAUUUGGUGAAAUGGAAAGAGAUGCAAUGCUUGCUCAUGGAGCUUCCUAUCUAUUACACGACAGGCUCCAUACCUCUUCAGAUUACCACAUUGCAGAUGUGUGUUCGCUAUGUGGAGGCUUGCUCACAUGUUCGGUUGUGAACGUUCAACAGAAGAAGCUGAUUCAAGGUAUUGGAAAGUUACCUCCUGGCAGGACUCCAAAGAAGGUAACUUGCGAUUCGUGCAAGACAAGCAAAGGGAUGGAAACUGUUGCAAUGCCAUAUGUGUUCAGGUACUUAGUUGCAGAAUUGGCGGCAAUGAAUAUUAAGAUGACUCUUCAGUUAAGCGACAGAGAAGGAAGCAAUAGAGAAGGAGUCUAGAUUCACUUUCAUUUCACGGUGCACAUCUUGUAUGUACAUCAAAGUUUUUGACUUCUCAAAGACUGGAACAAAAUUGUCUGAAAAUUUUGAUAGAUGAAGACUUAACAGAAAUAUGUAGAAGAAGAAUACAUUGCUAUUAGUUUUGGUUUUGCUUCGUUAGUAUAUUUUUUUUUAUUCUAUGAAAACGUUCUCUGGUCUUUGGUGCAAUUGAUUGUCUUAAACAUUGGUGUAUCAAUGGUAUGGAUAAAACCAAUGGAUUGGUGACAUGUUCAAUCAAAUUGCUCAGUUUUUGCCUUAUUGGAAAUAGCCUCUGCAAUUUGAGUGAACCUUAGAACAUAAAUCCAAUUCCAUUUACUUCAAAGAUACGAGUUGAGAGAAAAAAGAGCUAUUACUUGCAAAUUAUACAUCUAAACAACCACUCUUUCUCCUCUUGCACUCACACGAAGCAAACACUGAAGCAAAAUACAGAUAAAAGUCGCUCACUUUCCGGGAACGAAGUUGGUGGCGAAGGCCCAAGCGUUGUUGUUGACUGGAUCGGCCAAAUGGUCAGCAAGGUUCUCCAACGGUCCCUUACCGGUGACGAUGGCUUGAACAAAGAAUCCGAACAUAGAGAACAUAGCCAAUCUCCCGUUCUUGAGCUCCUUCACCUUCAGCUCAGCGAAGGCCUCUGGGUCGGUAGCUAGGCCCAAUGGGUCGAAGCUGCCACCUGGGUAAAGCAAGUCAUCGGCCUCUCCCAACGGCCCAUUUCCGGCGACUCUGUAACCUUCAACGGCUCCCAUCAAGAUCACUUGAGUGGCCCAAAUCGCAAGAAUGCUCUGAGCGUGAACCAAGCUUGGGUUUCCCAAGUAGUCGAGUCCUCCUUCACUGAAGAUCUGUGAACCGGCCUUGAACCAAACCGCCUCUCCGAACUUGACUCCGUUCCUGGCCAGCAGCUCCGGGAAGACGCAGCCUAGGGCUCCGAGCAUGGCCCACCUGGAGUGGAUAACUUCUAGCUCACGGUUCCUUGCGAAUGUCUCAGGAUCGGCUGAGAGACCGGCUGUGUCCCAUCCGUAGUCUCCGGGGAACUCGCCGGUGAGGUAGCUUGGUGGCUCGCCGGAAAAUGGACCCAAGUACUUGACUCUGUCGGAUCCGUACCAUGGGCUGCCUGAUGGGCCCUUUGGUUUGGCUACGGUCUUCCUCAUCGUCACACGGCCGCUUCCGAGGACUUCUGAUGCCGCUGGAGAAAUCUUGACGGCCUUUCCGGCGAAGGCAGGGGAGGAGAGAGCCAUUGUUGAGGCAGCCAUUGCGGUUAAGUGCGGAGCAAAAUAAAAAAAAACGUUUAUUUAGUUGUUGUUGUGAGCCAAGAAAUGGGUGGUUUGGCUUUGAUGAGCUUUUCGGUAUUUAUAAUAUGAAGUCGAAAUAAUGUCUUAUCUUAAGAGUAUCAAUCGCUGAUGUUUCUAUUGGCCAGUGACAUAUUUUUUUUGGGUUUAUAUUUUUUUGUUUGCUUACGUGGUGGUAAUUGUGUGUCCCACUUAAUAUAGCUCGCAGUUGAUGAUAUGCGUUUUAAGUUUUCAGGAGAUGGUGAAACAUCCACUCAUGAAGUGCCACGUGUAAGACUCGAUCUCUCUAUCCUUUUGAAAUCCCGAGUGCAUCAAUCAAAAAAAAAAAAAAGUAGAAUAAAUUGUAUAUUACAUUAGAGUGUACCUUUUCUAAUUAUAUUUUUAUAUGCUCUUUCUCUGAAUCUUUUCUUAUAAAAUUUUAGAAGAUUAAUAAUGAUCCCUGGCUAGAGAAGACGAUAAUAGCUAGCAAAGUAGAUCAUACUUCGUAAUAUCUUUAUUAGCAACUUGAUCUAUAAUGUUAAUGCAUGUAUCAGUGCCAGCAUAUCAUUGGAGACCAGAUAAUGGUUAAAUCCCCCAUCAUGAUCACUUGAUCAGGGUCAUGGUCAUUCGACAAAAAUUCAUAACCACGGGUCAUGGCCAUAGCCACAAUGCCCACAACACAAGUCGGUUCCUUCCUCACAUUUGUGAUGCGUGCAACUUAAAGUUACAAUAAGCAAAUUCCAAUUCCAUCAAACCCGUAAAUACACUGAAAACCAUCUAUUAGCUAACCCAAAUAUUGAACCAAACUCAUCUCAACCGAACAUUAAACAAGAUGUAAAAAUAUGCUUACCAUUUGUGGAAGAGGUGGGAGAAUGUCUUGAAUACAUUUUGUAUCUCAAUCAUUUCUAAUUAAUGCAAGUGCCAAGCUAACGCCAAUUCUAGAUUGUGAAAACAUUUUUUUUUUUUUUAAAUAGCUUUUAGCAAUAUUUUCUUCGACCUGAUCUUGAAGCUAUUUUGUUUGGCUGCUAAAUUAUUUGAUUUCUCUAUUCAUGGUUAUUUUAUUCAACUUUUGGAUUUAAAUUGAUGACAUUUGUUUUUUUUGUACGUUCCUUUCAUUAUAGGAUGAUCGGUACAAAUAUCAUUAAUGAUAUGAUUUUAAGAUAUUUUAAAGCUUUGAGCUUUGUGAAUAAAAAAAAAAUAGUUAGGGAUCGACAACAUUGAGCCACGUUACGUUUCAAGAAGCUCCUCAAGGUGCAUGGACGACGACUUUCAAGGACUUCUCCAUAUCAGUUGAUAAAAUAUUUAUCUAUGGCACUUGUGUGUAUUUUUAGAAAAUUUUGCAAUCCGUAUCGCAUCAAUUAUGAUAGACUCCUUAAUAUAAAAUUCAGUCAGCACCUUCGAAUUUGGCUAUAGGCUAUACAAGCCUACAAACUCAAAAACACAACACAUUUUAAACCAACAAAAAGGGCCCAAGGUUUAAUAAACUACACAUAUUAUAGAAAUAUUUUGUAAUCAGGCAUCAGGGUUAGUGAACAUUUUAAGGUUUGCAAACUGAUCACAAUGAACAUGAUAAUGAGCCGUGAUCUCGUGGCUUCCCGUUCUCAUAUCUGGAAGAGGGCCUGAACAACGGUCGCUGCUCCGGCGUCGUCGGCUAACGUCAAGACCUCUGUUACCGCUCCAUCGGCGGCGGUGGCUGGCGUCAAGGCGACAAGCGAUGGAUCUUCUUCGACUUCUGAUGAUGAGAAGGCGAAGGCGAAGGUGGCCGCCAGAGAGAAGAGUAAGGUAUUAAAGACACUAAUCUUCUAUAACCAUGCGACCAACCCGAGCAUUGCCCAAGUCAUAUAUAUAUAUAUAUAUAUAUAUAUAUAUAUAUAUAUAUUUAUUGCUACACACGCGUUAUAUCAAACAAAGCAUACUGCAUAAAGAAAGUUACCCUCUUCUUAUGUAGCAACAACCUCGACACUGUUUUAUGAUUUCUCCUCUGCAUCUCUCAACAUCUUUCAGUCUAUACUGUUGCGUCCCUGUCUGAUUCAUUGUGAUCACGAAACUGACCCGCGUAUGCGUCGUUCCUUUUUGUUUCUUGUAUAUCACGUUAGUGGUCUUCUGAUUUUUACGUUUGUGUCUUUCGUGCUUUCUUUGAAUUUUUUUUGUUUAGUUUUUCGCUCUCUUAUUAGUUUUUGUUGUGUUUUCGUUUCUGAUCAAUUGUGUUUUCGAGGUAUCUGUUUCUUGUGUAACACGUUAGCGAUCUUCAAAGUUUUGCGUUCCUGGCCUCUAAUGGAACCUAUGCGACGGUACAACCCUCUUGAUAUAUAUAUGCAUCGGAACCAUUGUUGAUUUUAGCAACGUCAAAAGCCCUUGAAUACCCAAUUUUCCACCUUCCUGUUCCAAUACGAUUCGUCAGGGAGCUAAGAUAUGAAACUUUAAUUUCUCCCUGGCGAUACCAUUUCAGGAUUCUGGACUGAAAUAUCGAGACAAUGGAAGAGGGGUUUUCUUUUGCUCGGGGAAAAAAAUUAUUUGGGGUUUUUGACCAAAACUGGUGUAAUUUGGGGGGGGGGGAGGUUUUUUUUUCCCAACUAAUUGACCAAUUGCAUGUCUCGGAAGAUACUGCAACUGAAAAAUGAAUUGGAUGUCAGCAAAACCAACAAACAAUACAAACACAUAAUUUUUUAAAAAACAUGUUUAUCGUUAAGCUUAUAGAAUCGCAACCAAAAUAUUAGUUUGCAAAAAAUAUAUGGCUGCUAAAAAACUACAAAGUGCAAUAUCAUUUCUUUAACAAACACGGAAUAUUAGCUAUUUUCCCUAAAACACUAAAAAUGAAAAAAAAGCAUUGGGCACUAAAUUAAGUACCUCAACGAAGUCCUUGAACAAUCGUUUAGGAAACCACAAGGGUUUAUGCACAGCAAUGGUGAAGAGAGCCUUAAGUCCCUUAACCAAAGUUGGUAACAAGAGUUCCUUCGAAGAACUAAAACCUUAACCGGCUCAAGUUGGACUCACUAAUCGUGUCGGUCGUCGUGAGUAUCGAACCGGACACAACCAUAUAUAGCUCUAACCAUAGCUGAUUCAGCUAACAUUAUGGGAGUGGAGAUCGGCCUAAGGCUUCAGCCAUCAGGGGCGAGUUGACGAAAGCUUCGGCUGCUUGGCCUUUUGCCAGCCUAAUCCUGCAUUUUUGGUGUCCCCCCCUCCAAGCUCUCCAUCGGUGAAGCAUAUACUGGAUGUGUUUUGGAUCAUCAGAGGUGGUCUUGUGAAGAAUAUAAUGUUGAUGUGUAAAAUCUCUUUUAUGAUGAGAAUCACUAUAAUUUUACUCAACUAGUUUUCAUACCAAUGUGAUUGCAACUGACUAUAUUAAUUUUUCUAAACUAUAUCUAGCUAUAUUUUUGCAUAAACGUAACUUUUAGAAGUGAAUCUAAACAACAACGAUCACAAGAUUGAAAUUAUCGAAAGCUUGUCCAACACAUAUCGGUGUCUUGUGUACCAAGGAAUCCGAAAGCUGUCAAGUAACCCUGUUUCCUCUUAAAACCCUCUCCCUCCCUCCCUUUUUUUUUUUCUCAUUUACAAAUCGUAUGAUUAAUGUCCAAAGAAUACUUCGAAUUGGGAACAAAAGAGACACAAACGAGACAUAAAUUUUUUGAUACUAUAGGUUUCAGAACACUACAAUAGUGAAUCCUCGGUAUAUUAACGAGUUAAAGAUUUAUUCUUUGUUGAAAAGUCAAAAUAGCGAAUUAAAGAUGCAGCAACGCAUUUGCACUGAGUUUCGUCAUUCGUUUUAACUAUAUAUUGUAUUUCUUUAACCAAAAAAAGAGAGAGAGCUAUAUAUUGUAUUUCAAAAUGUUUCAUCAAAUGAAACUAUGAAAUACACGCGGUGAAGAAGCACGGCACUUCCAAGUUCCAUUUAGGCGUCAGCUAAGUCAAUCAGACACGUGGCACGUCACCAGCAAACAAGAGCACACGAAUUAAGUACCGAUUGUCCCUGAAUAGUUUACAUGGAACCUCCACGUGACAACACAAGCAAGAUAUUCGCGUAAUAUACAUAGGCCCAUCUCUUCAAGGAGUCGUAUGAAGACUGGCAUAAGAGAUAAUGUGGACAGCAUUAUAAAGAUGUAAGUAAAAAAGCAUUAUAAAGAAUUGAAGCGGCUCAGUUAAUUAACUACCACAACAUUCUCCACUUACCUAAGGUAACCGCAAAAUAUCAUCUCUACAGAUUAUAAAACAUAAAUAUUCCACGUGAUGCAUUACAAACUUCUCAAAUCCAGUUUCGCAUAAAAUGGAUUUGAAAUCAAAAGGCUUUAAUUACGAAUUGAAAUCAGGUAUAAAAUAUUUAACCGAAAUAAAAACUGUUCAGUAGUACAAAAUCAUCUGAUCCCAGUCUUCAAAAUGUUUCCCUAAAUCCGAUUAAACUCAUUCCUCUAUAUAAAUCAGAGACGUAAAAUCCCUAAAAUAAAGAGGGAAAAACAAUAGAUGGUCUUCAAAAUGAUUUCCUAAAUCCGAUUAAACUCAUCCCUCUAUAUACUUUAAUCAAGGACAUAAAAUCCUUAAACUAAAGAGGGGAAAACAAAAAAGAGUGAUUAACUUGUAUAUUCAUGGAUGAAGGCAAAACUCUUUCUUAAUCUUCGGAUUUCUUCUGCGGUAUUAGUUGUUGACAAAUGGCUUCACACGGUCAAUUUUAACGGCAAAGGAGAAUCCUGUUCUACUAGUAUAAAUAUAAUGGAUGGUCUUUAUUCAAUGAGAUCUUGGAAUUAAUUCCUAUGAUCUUGCCAUCCAUAUCGAAAAGAGGCCCUCCAGAAGUCCCCUGUAAAUCACAAAUCAAAUGUUACAAAAUAAUCUCUAAAAUAAUGUAAAAAAAAUUGUAAUUAUUUUGUUUUUACCUUGUUCGUAGCCACAUCUGUUUGGAAAUGCUCUAGUUUUGGACAACCAAAGCCGAGGUAUUGGAAAUGAUAUCCCAUUUCCUUAAGACGUCGAUCCACACAAAUAGCAUGUAGGAAAGUAUAAAACGAUACAUGAAUAAAAUUUAUGAAUUCUAUAAUAAUAACUAAGUUAGUAAAAGAAAUGUAACCAUCUGAUGAUAUCGAUAGUAACUGAUCGAGGGAGGGAAAUUGGGGAACCAAAAGCAAUGGUCCAAUCCUGUAGCAGUAAUGGUUGAUCCCUCCAUUGUCGAGAUUGAUGUUUUAGAAAGUAUAUGUAUUUCUGCAUAAAUUAUUUUGUUGUCCCUGCAUAAGUUAUUUCUGAUUAACUUUGUUUUUUGUGAUGCUAACAGAAGUUUAUAAGAAGAAAGGAGGCUCUUUUGGUUUGGGUAUAUGAUUAUUGAUAGCUAUGGUACAGUAAUUGCCAACUAUCACAUCUGUCACUGCCCGAGAGUACCUACUGAACAGAUCUUGCACUUUAAUCUUUACAUUGUUGGUGUGUGUUUUAUUUUCGUAAGGAUUCUUUGUUUGUGAUUUUAAUUAUACAUAUACUUUCUGAAACAUCAAUCUCCACAAUGGAGGGACCAACCAUUGCUGCUAUAUCAGCAAUGGUGUCCCUGCCAAAAGGUGGAGGAGAGAAGUGUAAACUGUUUUCCCUGACUUGAUGAAAAGACGAGCUCUGAGAUGUGCACUGGCGUUACAUACAAAACAUAUAGCUCCAAUCAAGGAAAAAUAUAACUGGAAUACCUUUGAGGGAUCGACUCUUUGAAAGUUUUUGAGGACUGAGAUAACGCGAUCUGUGACAUCAGAUUUGUCUAGAAACGAUCCUCUAACUUCGUCGGAGAAACGGCGAAGAAGAACGGUGAAAGGGAGAGCAGAUUCUCGAGCGCCAAUGUUAUGCUUUAGAAGUGAUGCUUUGACGUAGACUCUAAGGUGUCGAAUCAGAGCAUUUCUCGCCGCCAUCGCUGUGUUGCAGAAAGGAAACAACUAAAAAAAAAAAACCUAGAAGCACCUAGAAGCUUUUUCUGUGCUUGUGAAGACUCGAGAAAGGAGAUUUGCUAAGGUGUCAAAGUCCACGUAACAUGUAUGUACAUACUAUUAUAUUAAUGAAAGUUUGAACUCAGUUAUGCUAGUGGAAGCAUGUGUUUAAGAUUUAAUGCAAUACAGAUGGCGAAACAAACCAUGGCGUACUCUAAUCAAGCACUCCAGUUUCGUGCUGACCAGAAGAUUUACCACUUGCAGGUCAGUUCUAAUUUACAUUUAUGCUCUCAGAAAGCAGAAGUACAUGCUACAAUGUUCAUUUAAUCAUUUCCCUCUUUUGGUCCCAUGUCUUGUAAAAUUAUAUCUGUAUGGCACAGACUCCUCAAUCCCCCGUGGUGCGCACGAAAACAUACACCACGUACAGCAUUGAUGAGAAUCCAACAGGGACUAAUGCAAUAGUUGCUGUCCUGGCUCAUACUGGGUAAGAAAUUGUUUUGGCCCAUUUUCCAUUUUUGUUAUCAAGCAUUCAGAAGAAAUCUUUGGAUAUGGUGCUUAAGCGUAGUUGCAAGGAAUUUUUUUUUAUCUCCAACUUUAAUUUAAGCCUGGUCAUUGUCCUCUGCAUUCGUUUCUUUAUGAAACCCGGAAUAUUCUUGUAGUUGCAGCGAGGGGUUAAUUAUCAUCGUACAAAUUACUCAGCAUUUCCCUUCUGUGAAUUUCUUACCCUUGUCCUCAUAAUCUUGCAGACAGAAACUGUUGAUCUGUCAGAUCAGAGAAGCCGAUCGGAAAAUGCUCAUAAAAGUUUCAGGAGAAGAAAAUUUGACAAAUCAGCUCAUUCUUGUAUUGAUGCUGAUGAGUUACCAUAUGUUGGACAGGUAAAAUCAUUACUUUCCAUCCUCUUGAUGUGCUGUAGACUCAUUCUGUAAUUUUAGUUUCCUUGUUAACAUCCACAAAAACUCCGAUGCACAGAAAAUACAUCCAAAUGAGCCGUACUGUAGUAUCUAUGAUGGGGUAACUAACUCAAUAAAGACCAUGAAGCGAAAUGGCACCGACCCUGUCAUAGUUGACUUUGUCUCUGUGGACAUGAAAAGCAAGACGCAUCCUCAAAAGGUGAGGUUAACUCCUUCAACGGUCACAUAAACAGAGUCCGGUUUUGGUUAAUUCUAAUUUUUAAGGUUCAUUUGCAGGCGAAUAUUUAUGGGGCCUGUUUACUACCAAAGACUACGUCACAUGGUCUCAGACAAAUUCCAGGUUUUUGGAUCCCUCGGUAAAACUCUCCAAGUUGCACUUGUCUCAUCUUGGAGCUUUGUCUGAGUCAUAUAUUCUGGCUUUGCAGGUUAGAUCCAUAGGACUAGUGGAUCAGCUAACUCGUCAGCCAAUCAAGGGAAGGAAACGAGGUGGAGGGAUUCGAUUUGGUGAAAUGGAAAGAGACGCAAUGCUUGCUCAUGGAGCUUCGUAUCUAUUACACGACAGGCUCCACACCUCAUCAGAUCACCACAUUGCAGAUGUGUGUUCGCUAUGUGGAAGCUUGCUCACAUCUUCGGUUGUGAACGUUCAACAGAAGAAGCUGAUUCAAGAUAUUGGAAAGUUACCUCCUGGCAGGACUCCAAAGAAGGUAACUUGCGAUUCGUGCAAGACAAGCAAAGGGAUGGAAACUGUUGCAAUGCCAUAUGUGUUCAGGUACUUAGCUGCAGAAUUGGCGGCAAUGAAUAUUAAGAUGACUCUUCAGUUAAGCGGCAGAGAAGGAAGCAAUAGAGAAGGAAGCAAUAGAGAAGGAGUCUAAAUUCGCUUUCAUUUGAUGUUGUAUGUACAUCAAAGUUUUUGAGUUCUCAAAGACUGGAACAAAAUUGUCUGAAAAUUUUGACAGAUGAAGCAAGAACAAGAAUUAGAUCUCACAAUGUAACAGAGUUAUGUAGAAGAAGAAUACAUUGCUAUUAGUUUUGGUUUUGCUUCAUUAGUAUAUUUUUUUAUUCUGUGAAACGUUCUCUGGUUUUUGGUGGAAGUUAUCGUCUUAAACGUUGGUGUAUCAUUGGUAUGGAUAAAACCAAUGCAUUGGUGACAUGUUCAAUCAAAUAGCUCAAUUUUACCUUACUGGAAAUAGCCUCUGCAAUUUGAGUGAACCUUAGAACAUAAAUCCAAUUCCAUUUACUUCAAAGAUACGAGUUGAGAGAAAAAAGAGCUAUUACUUGCAAAUUAUACAUCUAAACAACCACUCUUUCUCCUCUUGCACUCACACGAAGCAAACACUGAAGCAAAAUACAGAUAAAAGUCGCUCACUUUCCGGGAACGAAGUUGGUGGCGAAGGCCCAAGCGUUGUUGUUGACUGGAUCGGCCAAAUGGUCAGCAAGGUUCUCCAACGGUCCCUUACCGGUGACGAUGGCUUGAACAAAGAAUCCGAACAUAGAGAACAUAGCCAAUCUCCCGUUCUUGAGCUCCUUCACCUUCAGCUCAGCGAAGGCCUCUGGGUCGGUAGCUAGGCCCAAUGGGUCGAAGCUGCCACCUGGGUAAAGCAAGUCAUCGGCCUCUCCCAACGGCCCAUUUCCGGCGACUCUGUAACCUUCAACGGCUCCCAUCAAGAUCACCUGAGUGGCCCAAAUCGCAAGAAUGCUCUGAGCGUGAACCAAGCUUGGGUUUCCCAAGUAGUCGAGUCCUCCUUCACUGAAGAUCUGUGAACCGGCCUUGAACCAAACCGCCUCUCCGAACUUGACUCCGUUCCUGGCCAGCAGCUCCGGGAAGACGCAGCCUAGGGCUCCGAGCAUGGCCCACCUGGAGUGGAUAACUUCUAGCUCACGGUUCCUUGCGAAUGUCUCAGGAUCGGCUGAGAGACCGGCUGUGUCCCAUCCGUAGUCUCCGGGGAACUCGCCGGUGAGGUAGCUUGGUGGCUCGCCGGAAAAUGGACCCAAGUACUUGACUCUGUCGGAUCCGUACCAUGGGCUGCCUGAUGGGCCCUUUGGUUUGGCUACGGUCUUCCUCAUCGUCACACGGCCGCUUCCGAGGACUUCUGAUGCCGCUGGAGAAAUCUUGACGGCCUUUCCGGCGAAGGCAGGGGAGGAGAGAGCCAUUGUUGAGGCAGCCAUUGCGGUUGAGUGCGGAGCAAAGUAAAAAAAAAACGUUUAUUUAGUUGUUGUUGUGAGCCAAGAAAUGGGUGGUUUGGCUUUGAUGAGCUUUUCGGUAUUUAUAAUAUAAAGUCGAAAUAAUGUCUUAUCUUAGA